UACAGGGGGUGCAAACGUUGCUCGGAAUCAUUGGGCGUAAAGCGCACGUAGGCGGUUCGUUAUGUCGGAUGUGAAAGCCCUUGGCUUAACCGAGGAAGUGCAUCCGAAACUGGCGAGCUAGAUUACUAAAGAGGAUCGCGGAAUUCCCGGUGUAGAGGUGAAAUUCGUAGAUAUCGGGAGGAACACCGGUGGCGAAGGCGGCGAUCUGGGUAGAUACUGACGCCGAGGUGCGAAAGCGUGGGGAGCAAACAGG
rnacentral:rRNA from 1 species